AGUAAAUUGGUAAAGUUAGAAAGGGCGCACGGUGGAUGCCUAGGCACUAGGAGCCGAAGAAGGACGGGACUAACACCGAUAAGCUUUGGGGAGCUGUACGAAAGCGUUGAUCCAGAGAUUUCCGAAUGGGGGAACCCACUAUCAAUAGUCGGAUAGUAUCCUUACGAGAAUACAUAGCGUGAGGAAGGCAGACCCAGGGAUCUGAAACAUCUAAGUA
rnacentral:rRNA from 1 species